AGUGAACGCUGGCGGUAGGCCUAACACAUGCAAGUCGAACGGCAGCACAGUAAUAGCUUGCUCUUACGGGUGGCGAGUGGCGGACGGGUGAGGAAUACAUCGGAAUCUACUUUUUCGUGGGGGAUAACGUAGGGAAACUUACGCUAAUACCGCAUACGACCUACGGGUGAAAGCAGGGGAUCUUCGGACCUUGCUCGAUUGAAUGAGCCGAUGUCGGAUUAGCUAGUUGGCGGGGUAAAGGCCCACCAAGGCGACGAUCCGUAGCUGGUCUGAGAGGAUGAUCAGCCACACUGGAACUGAGACACGGUCCAGACUCCUACGGGAGGCAGCAGUGGGGAAUAUUGGACAAUGGGCGAAAGCCUGAUCCAGCCAUACCGCGUGGGUGAAGAAGGCCUUCGGGUUGUAAAGCCCUUUUGUUGGGAAAGAAAAGCAGCAGGUUAAUACCCCGCUGUUCUGACGGUACCCAAAGAAUAAGCACCGGCUAACUACGUG
rnacentral:rRNA from 1 species